AUUUAAAUGAUUUUUUAUCCUUUUUCUAGAUGAACCCUGUUUCUGGCGAUGGUCACACCAAGAAAAUCAUUGUUCAGAUGAAUAUGCGACUUUCGUCACUCACUUGGUUGGUACAAAUCGACUCAACUUGACAGUUUUCACUCAAGAUGCUAUCUGUUGUGAUUUCCUAAAGUUCCAAGAAUGUGCUGUUGGAUCAACUUCUGGAUCAUGUUCUGCUCAAGUUGAAGAUUUUGUCGAGAGAUUUUUCUACAAACUCGCUGGUCAAAAUGCUGUCAAUCGAUGUAAUCGGCGUAAAAAACAACCAUCAUAUGUCAUUAAAUGCUCAGGGAGGAAAAAUUUAUGAAAAAUGGUUCAAUCAAUAAUGUCUAACCUGUUGCAUUCAUCGUCAAUGGUUAUUGACUUUUUAACAAAUCUCUACGACAUGUAAACGAUAAAUAAAAACAUUUAGAAAUGAACUUUGCUUAAUAAAGCAGUAAAUUGUUUUUA